AGAGAUGUGUGAUGACGCAUAUCAAUAAGCGGAGGAAAAGAAACUAACAAGGAUUCCCUUAGUAACGGCGAGUGAAGCGGGAAGAGCUCAAAUUUGAAAUCUUCAAGGUUCUACCUUGACGAAUUGUAGUUUAUAGAAGUGUUUUCUGUUAGUGGAGUGGCAAAAGUUCUUUGGAAUAGGACAUCAUAGAGGGUGAGAAUCCCGUAUUUGGUCAUUCCUCCUAGCGUUGUGAUACACUUUCAACGGGUCGGAUUGUUUGGGAAUGCAGUCCAAAAUGGGUGGUAAAUUUCAUCUAAAGCUAAAUAUUGGCGAGAGACCGAUAGCGAACAAGUACCGUGAGGGAAAGAUGAAAAGAACUUUGAAAAGAGAGUUAAACAGUACGUGAAAUUGUCAAAAGGGAAGCGUUUGACACCAGUGUUGUUUUCUCGAAAAUCAAUUAAAAAUGGCCGGAUUUUGUGUUGUAUUGACUUUAUCAGCUUUCUGCACUUUUUUCAUGUCUUUUUUAAUGCACUUUUCGUUUAACAAGUCAACAUCAAUUUCUUUUGUUGUAAAAGGGUAUGAGGAAGGUGGCUUUCUUUUCGGAGAAAGUGUUUAUAGCCUUGUACCUCUGCAAUCGGAGAGAUUGAGGUCUGCAGCGUAGAUCCUUCGGGGUUAGAUACAUUUGUGCUAAGUUAUAGCUUUUCAUAGACAACUUGUUGAUUAUGUUAAGUCUUGUAGCUUACUCGCUUAUGCUAUUUUACCUACGCUUAGGAUGUUGAAGAUGUAGCACAUCAU
rnacentral:rRNA from 1 species